GGACCAAUUUGUUGGUCGUGCCUCGGUACGUACUGGUAUUAUUGGUUUCUCCCUUCUGAAGAACCUCGAUGUCAUUAAUUUGGUGUCGUGGGGAAUCAGGACUGUUACUUUGAAAAAAUUAGAGUGUUUAAAGCAGGCAUACGCUUGAAUACAUUAGCAUGGAAUAAUGAAAUAGGACGUUUGAUUCUAUUUUGUUGGUUUCUAGGAUCGACGUAAUGAUUAAUAGGGAUAGUUGG
rnacentral:rRNA from 1 species